UACGUAGGGUGCGAGCGUUAAUCGGAAUUACUGGGCGUAAAGGGUGCGCAGGCGGUUCUGCAAGUCAGGCGUGAAAGCCCCGGGCUCAACCUGGGAAUUGCGCUUGAUACUGCGGCGCUGGAAGGUGGGAGAGGAUGGCGGAAUUCCCAGUGUAGAGGUGAAAUUCGUAGAUAUUGGGAAGAACACCGGUGGCGAAGGCGGCCAUCUGGCCCAUUUUUGACGCUGAGGCGCGAAAGCGUGGGGAGCAAACAGG
rnacentral:rRNA from 1 species